AAAUUGGUGAGAAUUUGAUGUUUCUUUUGUUAUUUUAUUUUUAGGAGUUGGAUCUUUUCAGUAGUCUUUUUGAUUUUGCUUUUAUUUUUUUUUUUUGUGGUGUAAUAGUCUUUUAGAAGAAUCUGGAUGAUUUUAAAAAAUAUUUUUGUUAUACUUUUCAUCUAAUGUUGUUGGAUUAUUACAGAUGUUUUGGAGUUUUACUUUUUUUAAGUUUCAUUUGGAAGAAUUUAUGCUAGAUGGUAGGACUGUGUUUUUAUUUUUGGGGUAGUUGGUUGUAGGUGUAUUGUAUGUUUUUUAAGUGAAGGUAAAUCGGGGUUUGUAUUCAGUUGUUAGAGGAAAGGAGAAAAAUGUAUUGGUAAUGUUUACAGUGGUGUGUUUUUUUGUGGUUUUUGAUUUAAGUUUGUAUUGGAGUUUUAAUAAGUUUGCUGCAGUAGUGUUUAAUGGUGGAGUUAUUUAAGGUAAGAAAGUUUAUAGUUAAUUCUUCUUUGUUUUAGAUUUGUGUGUACGUUAGAGGAGGUUGUUGAAGGGGGAGUGUGUUUUGUAGGUGAAUUUUAGUGUUUCAGUUUAUAGAGCAUUUUUUGGAUGGGAGUUACAGUAUUUUGAGUUGUUUGGUGUCGCUGGUGAUGUAUUGUUGAAGUGGUAAGGAGUAUUUAUAGGGGUUUUUUUUAAGUUUUAUUGUAGAUCUAGAUAGUUGUGGUGGGCUGUUUAAUUGUUUUAUGGUUUUUGGCUUUUUAGUAGUUAUUUAAAAUAUGUUUGAGGGUUAUGGGUUUAUUGAAAUACUUGAUUUGGAGGAAGUUCCUAUUUAGAAUGUAUGAUUUGUUUGGCUUAAAAUAAAAAUUUUAUAUUUUUAGUGAGGUUUAUUUUUUUUCUUUUCUUACUGCUAUAUUUUGUGAUAUUUGUGUUGGGUUAGUAAUAGGAAUAGCUUUACUUUUAUAUGUUGAAAUGAGGGUAGUGUGUACUGGUGUUCAUAAAGGUUUAAUAUUUUUGUGGUUCUGAUGUGUUAGGUCAAUGAAUUUAUAAAGUUUACAAUACUUCUUUUUGUUUUUAUUUCUAUACAGGCAGGGUUUUCUUAGUUUUAAGGAUUUGUUUGGCGUAGAUUAAGAGGCCUUAUUGAGGGGAUAGGACAGGGUUCCUCUGUUAAUCUAUUUGGUAAUUUGGAUAUUGGCUAAAUAAUGUUAAUAUUUUGGUAGAAUUUUUGGGUUUGGUUAAUUUAUUUAUUUAUAAACGUGUGCCUACAGCUGUAAUGUCUCUGCUGCAGCUCUAAGUAUCCAUUCUUGUGUGCAUUAGGUGGUCCAGUCGUGUUACACCGAGACCCCCUCUGCAACGGGCCUGCAGACCCGCUCCUUCGACCUCGUGGGAAUUCGGGAAGCGGCACACGGCUCUGCGAGGAAGCCUUGAUCUUUGUCCUUUGAAGGUGCCACCCAGGAAACCUUCAGGAGCGGCCGGGGAGUUGCUCCAGGCAGAACCUGCCUGGAGGGCGUGGGCAAAGCGUGCGGCCCGAGGAGAGCGGCGUUCUUAGGAGAAUGCUGGGCAAGGGACCACAGCCCGGUGACCAUAGGACAUUCCCAGCAGGCGAGGCAGCCUCCAUUCACAAGUGACAUGGAUUCUCAUCCCCAGAUGUCUGAGAGAUAAGUCAAGGGCUAAGGCCCACAGAGGGGAUGAAAGCAAGGUGCUGGGAGGGCCUUUUGAAUCAGCUCUGGGGGUGGGGAUGUGCAAGAAGUGUCCCCUUAGGCCACCUAAAGGGAAAAUGUUUCUUUGGAUCACAGUGCUGAGGUGCGCAGGGCAGAGCAGUUCCGGUGUGUGUCCUGUCACUUG